AACUUUGCAUAGUGGCAGUAUUGUAGCCAAUGAGGUUUAUCCAAGGUGCCAUUAUUGCUAAUUGAAACA
rnacentral:snRNA from 1 species